UACGUAGGGUGCGAGCGUUAAUCGGAAUUACUGGGCGUAAAGUGUGCGCAGGCGGCAGAGCAAGUCGAGUGUGAAAGCCCCGGGCUUAACUUGGGAAUUGCGCUCGAAACUACUUUGCUGGAGUGUGGCAGAGGAAGGUGGAAUUCCACGUGUAGCGGUGAAAUACGUAGAGAUGUGGAGGAACACCAAUGGCGAAGGCAGCCUUCUGGGCCAACACUGACGCUCAUGCACGAAAGCGUGGGGAGCAAACAGG
rnacentral:rRNA from 1 species